UACGAAAGGGGCUAGCGUUGUUCGGAAUCACUGGGCGUAAAGCGCACGCAGGCGGAUCGAUAAGUCGGGGGUGAAAGCCCGGGGCUCAACCUCGGAAUUGCCUUCGAUACUGUCGGUGUCGAGUCCGGGAGAGGUGAGUGGAAUUCCUAGUGUAGAGGUGAAAUUCGUAGAUAUUAGGAAGAACACCAGUGGCGAAGGCGGCUCACUGGCCCGGUACUGACGCUCAGGUGAGAAAGCGUGGGGAGCAAACAGG
rnacentral:rRNA from 1 species